AUACGUAGGGCGCGAGCGUUGUCCGGAAUUACUGGGCGUAAAGGGCGCGUAGGCGGCGCUUCAAGUCGUCUGUCAAAUGGGAGGGCUUAACCCUUUUUCGCAGACGAAACUGGAGAGCUUGAGAAGCAGAGAGGCAAACAGAAUUCCUGGUGUAGCGGUGAAAUGCGUAGAUAUCAGGAAGAAUACCAGUGGCGAAGGCGGUUUGCUGGCUGCAUACUGACGCUGAAGCGCGAAAGCCAGGGGAGCAAACGGGAUUAGAUACCCCGGGAGUCCUGGCAGUAAACGAUGUAUGCUGGGUGUGAGACUAGCGAUAGUUUCGUGCCGAAGUUAACGCGAUAAGCAUACCGCCUGGGGAGUACGGUCGCAAGAUUGAAACUCAAAGGAAUUGACGGGG
rnacentral:rRNA from 1 species